rnacentral:rRNA from 1 species
AGAACGAACGCUGGCGGCAUGCCUAAUACAUGCAAGUCGAACGAACUCUUCGGAGUUAGUGGCGCACGGGUGCGUAACGCGUGGGAAUCUGCCCCUUGGUUCGGAAUAACAGUUGGAAACGACUGCUAAUACCGGAUGAUGACGAAAGUCCAAAGAUUUAUCGCCAAGGGAUGAGCCCGCGUAGGAUUAGCUAGUUGGUGAGGUAAAGGCUCACCAAGGCAACGAUCCUUAGCUGGUCUGAGAGGAUGAUCAGCCACACUGGGACUGAGACACGGCCCAGACUCCUACGGGAGCAGCAGUAGGGAGUAUUGGACAAGUGGGACGAAAGCCUGAUCCAGCAAUGCCGCGUGAGUGAUGAAGCCUUAGGUGUAAAGCUCUUUACCGAGAU